rnacentral:rRNA from 1 species
GACAGAGGGUGCAAACGUUGUUCGGAUUUACUGGGCGUAAAGGGCGCGUAGGCGGCAAUUCAAGUCAGUUGUGAAAUCUCCGAGCUUAACUCGGAACGGUCAACUGAUACUGUUUUGCUAGAGUGCAGAAAGGGCAACCGGAAUUCUUGGUGUAGCGGUGAAAUGCGUAGAUAUCAAGAGGAACACCUGAGGCGAAGGCGGGUUGCUAGGCUGACACUGACGCUGAGGCGCGAAAGCUAGGGUAGCAAACGGG